rnacentral:lncRNA from 1 species
CACAGCAGAAGUGCAGUUAUUGUUUAUUUAUUCUACAGCUAAAGCCCCUUAAUAUGCAUAAGACUUUGCAGACAAAUCGGACAGGUCUGUGCCUGAGGAAUUUGCCUUCUGAGCAAGACGGAGCACAGCAAAAGGAAGCAAACCAAAAGAAGUGUUGGUACAUAUGCAGAGCAGGGAGGCAGUAGGAGGCGGAAAGAGCCACAGGAGAGGUCAGGGUCAAAGGUAUCACCAGAGCCCUCCCAGGGUAUGCACUUACCUUCCAGUAAGGCAGGCCCUUCUAGUGUUGCUGUGGAGAGGAAAAGCUUCGUGUUUCAUCUAUGAGGUGUGACCUGUCUGCUUACAACUUCAGUACGCUCUGGUCCCGUGUGAAGACCCAGGGGCUGACAGAGGUUCUUUAGCUGCAGCACCCCAGUGAAUCACUGCUAUGGAAACAGCCAGGAAUUCUGUGUAUGACAUCUGGAGAUCUUCCAAAGAGGCAGGACCAGCUGCGUUCCAAACCCGUGACUGCAGCAGCCAUGACCCCUCCGAAAGGAAAUCUGAGCCCGCGAGCAGUUGUGCUUGGGGAGGGCCGGGCUCUCACGUUUCUCUGUUUUGUUUUGGAGCCUCGGAUAAAUAGGGGGCUUGCUUUUUCCCUUCGUUUCUUUUCUUACGUUCUUUCUUUUUUUUUUUUUUUUUCUCCCUCUGAAUGUAUUUCUACAGCCUCAAGGAAGGAAUUUUAAAAAGAAAAAGGAAAAGAAAAAAAAAAAAGGUUCUGGCAUGGGAACAAGUAUGUUUCAAAUUACAGAAAGGAUGUGAAAGGUUCAAGAAUUUGAGGCCUGACUCCGCCUGUGUCUGUCUCCA